GGGGCAGACAUGGCUUUGACAGCGUGUAGAGGUGGUGAGCAAGCACGCCGAGCGAUAAUGGCAAUGCUCGUUAAUAUCAGUCAUUGCUAAAUUUUAUCUGGCGAAAACAACUUCGCUCUCGCUGCCUAACCGAAGCACAGUAGGUUAGCUUCAUCUCCGCCCGAGGGGCAGAGACGAGACAUCACCCGAAAGCCCUUUUUCCGAGGCAGUUCGAUUCGGUGGUGCUCGCAAAUCGGAAAUAGAUAGCUGAUGGCCUCGCUCAGUUGUCGAAAUCUUGAGGAUAAGCCAUUGGUUGGUCGUCUUGAGCCUGCCAACGGUCGAAAACCAAGUCAAGACUAAGCGUGUAGAAAACUCAUUAGUUCCACGUUUGGACGAGGGUUCAACCCCCUCCUGCUCCACA
rnacentral:tmRNA from 1 species